rnacentral:lncRNA from 1 species
AAUUUACAGUACUAAGUGCUUGCACGAAUCUUUGCUUUCUUAGAGAGGGGCAAUCCAGAUGACUAGGAUAUUAUGAAAUAUAUUGGCUUCAUUCUGAAAUUGUAGAAGAAUCUCUUUUGUGAGUAAAUGCAUACUUUUCCUUUUUAGGACAUAAAUUCAACUCAGAUUUAUAAAAUCCUAUAGGAUUCUUGUAUUCUGUUGACUUGGCUGACUCAUUUGUCUCUUGAGACCCAUUUCAGACAACUGAAAACCAUAAGUGUUGCCACUCUCCAUGGAUUAUCUCAUCUGUGUGAAGGAAGUAAGAGAAUUUUGAAGCAUUUUGAUUACUGAGAAAUGCAGAGCAUAAGGAUCAAAAGUGAUUAACAUAAACACUGAUGAUAAAGAAGUAGAUUUGAUACAAAAAUUGUGUAGAUUUGAUACAAAAAUUAGUUGUUUAUUUUAAUUUCUCUUUGAUAGAUGUGCCUUUUGGUGCUGACUCAGUCAUAUACGAGCUGUUUGAUUUUAGACAAAUCACAAUUAAAAAAAUUUUUUUUAGUUGUAGCAGUACCUUUGUUUUUUUAUAUGUGGUACUGAGGAUGGAACCUACUGCCUCACACAUGCAAGGCAAGCACUCUACCACUGAGCCACAACCCCCACCCCAACAAAUCACAAUUUUUAAGAGCUUUUUCACUUUCUUCAUCUAAAGCAUCAUGUUGAUAAUGCCUACUUACAGGAUUAUUGUGAAAAUAACGUUAGGUUAGUAUGAAAAUGCAGCUUUUAAAAAUCGAACAUACCAUUUUUAAGUAUUGUUGUUGUGAUUGUUGUUAUUUUGUGUCUGGGUUGAGAAAAUUUCAUGAUUGUUGACAUGAUGACAUCACCUGGGAGUGUAGAAUAAGUAUGCACAUCAGCAGAUUUUAAGGUUACAAAAAAAUAGUUAUGUUUAUUUGUCUUCUAAUGCUCCACUGAAGGAAUGUUUCCAUUUUCUCAUGAAAUGGGGGAAAUCCACACGUUUUUAUUAAAGAAAGCAAGUCUGAUAUUUUGUAUCCUUUGAAUUGAAAGACUAUAUUUCAUUCUUUCAGGGAAAAUGGGGGGACUACUGGGUUAAAUUUUCAGCAAAAAUAGCAGACACAUGAUAGGAGUACAGAUCAUAAUAAAUAAAACUAUAAUGUGUUUUUAAAAAGUGUCAAAAAACAAUAUGAAUGGAAAGACUGGAUAUUUGGAGAAAAGUUCAGUCUUAAAACCUCAUUUUACAUCCUACAUGAAAAUAAAUUUUAAAAAUAAGAACAUGUAGGCAAAUUUGGCUCAUUUAAAAAAUAAAUGACAAAAAUUAAAUUAUGAUUAUUCAUAAGAAACACAUUAUUACUUCAUCACAAAAGGAUGUAUAUCACAAGUAAUUGACAAAAGAAAAAAAUUCAGGUGACAAUAAUUAACCCUCAAUACUAAUCAGUAAUGGUAAAUAAAAAAUAAUACACUGUUUUUGGCUCACUGCUCAUGACAGUGCAGAGGGUGAGCAUUCUCUGGCACUGCUGAUGGGAUUUUGGGCUCUGGUCUUUCUGGAAACCAGUUUCAAGAACUCAGGUUAUAAUUAUAAGUCUUUACCUAGGAACCCCACUUGUAGACUCUAUCUGAAGAACAUAUUAGCAGCUUUGAAUGUUAAAUUUGUGUCAUUUGUU